UGUUAGUCUAUGCUUGGCAUUUAGUUCCAGGAAUGAAGGGGAGUCAGUCAUUCUUUCCCGGGUUAGCCUAAAAAUCUACUGUUACUACACCUUGGCUCUUGUUAACAUUGAACCAUAAAUUUCAAUGCUAGGUGCAUGAGAAAGACUUCCCCUGGACUUUAACAGAGCCAGACUUCAGACCUGAUCUGUGAAGACACCAGAUGACUCUCAGCACAGAUGAUUUUGUCCCCUCUUUCCAGUCCCCAACCCUCUUUAAAAGACUGAACAACCGGCUGAGUCUCCAGGUUUUCUGACUACUUCAGUCUCUUUUCCUGUCUUGACAGUGACCAGGUGGUAAAUGACCAUCCUGUCUGUUUCAGUUAGGACAGAACUAAGGCCACAUCUCGCUUCUGGACAAGAACAAGGAUGCCCACCACUAACCUGCUGGAGCAGGUCCCAUCCCCUGCUUGCGUCAACUGCAUCUCUGUAUACUCCUGUACCUUCCCAUCUCAGCCUGGGCAAUCACUCCCGUUUAUCUCCGGGGAGCUUGACCCCUAUGUGACCGCUUCUGCGGGUACCCAGGAGGCACUACCUGAAUGAAAAAAAAGGAAAUAAAAAGGAAAGGAAAGGACAUGACUGCUGCUAGGAAAUAGGAACUUUCUUCAAGCCCACAAGAGACUGGUGGCCUUUGUCUAAAUGUCCGACCUUGGGGAAAAGGAGUUUCUUGGGGGACCAGACAUAACUCA